rnacentral:rRNA from 1 species
GACGAACGCUGGCGGCGCGCCUAACACAUGCAAGUCGAACGGAGCUGAGAGAAGCUUGCUUUUCUUAGCUUAGUGGCGAACGGGUGAGUAACGCGUGAGUAACCUGCCCUGGAGUGGGGGACAACAGUUGGAAACGACUGCUAAUACCGCAUAAGCCCACGAUCCGGCAUCGGAUUGAGGGAAAAGGAUUUAUUCGCUUCAGGAUGGACUCGCGUCCAAUUAGCUAGUUGGUGAGGUAACGGCCCACCAAGGCGACGAUUGGUAGCCGGACUGAGGGGUUGAACGGCCACAUUGGGACUGAGACACGGCCCAGACUCCUACGGGAGGCAGCAGUGGGGGAUAUUGCACAAUGGGGGAAACCCUGAUGCAGCGACGCCGCGUGGAGGAAGAAGGUUUUCGGAUUGUAAACUCCUGUCGUUAGGGACGAUAAUGACGGUACCUAACAAGAAAGCACCGGCUAACUACGUG